rnacentral:rRNA from 1 species
UAGGGAAUCUUCGGCAAUGGACGAAAGUCUGACCGAGCAACACCGCGUGAGUGAAGAAGGUUUUCGGAUCGUAAAACUCUGUUGGUAGAGAAGAACGUUGGUGAGAGUGGAAAGCUCAUCAAGUGACGGUAACUACCCAGAAAGGGACGGCUAACUACGUGCCAGCAGCCGCGGUAAUACGUAGGUCCCGAGCGUUGUCCGGAUUUAUUGGGCGUAAAGCGAGCGCAGGUGGUUUAUUAAGUCUGGUGUAAAAGGCAGUGGCUCAACCAUUGUAUGCAUUGGAAACUGGUAGACUUGAGUGCAGGAGAGGAGAGUGGAAUUCCACGUGUAGCGGUGAAAUG